AACAACUACAGCCAGAUGCUUCAUGGAAGAUAUGCUGUGUGCGUGUUCUUGGAAAUGCAGACAGCUAUGGAGAAGCACGACGAAAGCUUGCAAAGGCAGAAGCAACAUCAGAUCUUCAAACAGAUAGUGAUAUCCCAGAAAAGCGACGUAGAAGGUAGUGUGGAACAGGGACUUAUGUAACACACAACUCUAAACCUUCUGUCUUCCUAGUUGUCAUUUGAGCCGCUCUCAAUUCCUUUACCCAUUUGGUUCUCUUUGCUUUACUUUUUUCUCAUCCUUCAGGACUUAAAGGAACAACAUAUUUGUAAGAAUGGAAAAUUACACAGGAAAAAAUGCUAAUACUUGUGAGCUUUACUAUAGAUUUUGCCACAUUCCUACUUUAAAUGAACUAGAUUACUGUUUUUUUAACCAUAUUGGUUGUCAUAGGUUCAACUGUAACGUUUUAUCUUUUGGAUAUUAUUUCUGUAUCUCUCACAGUUAACUUGAAAUAAAAUAGUUAAAUUGCUCACUAGACUGUAGCCUUUUUGGUUGUUGUUUUUUUUUUACCAACUUUUACCACUUGUUAAAUUCUGAUUUAUCAUUUCAGAUCCUCCCACAAAUGGGGCACAUUUUCUUCAAGUGAAGACAGUGUGGACUCCUCAGAGAAUGAAGUUCCACCUUCUCCUCCCUUGGAACCUACCACAUUUGGAUCUGCCUCAAAAGUGUGUAGUCUCGGUGUGUCCAGAAAGAGAAGCCCCAGCACAACUCCAAAUCUGAGAAGUGCAACUGCAAGUCUUUCUAUGAGUCCUGGGACUUCUUUGAGCAGGAGCAGCUCCAGCUUGGGAGAGGCUAUGUUUACUAGGCUGGUUACACUUCUUGAGGAGGUUAGAGAAACACAAAGACUACACGGACAGUUGCUGAAUACCUUGCUGAGACAGAAAUCUGCUUCACCACCGGUUGAACCACCUGAAGGAGCUGUUUUUCCAAUGUGUACAAUCAAUGAUGUCCUGGGCAUGAAUGAGAAGCUGGGUGACUCAGACUUCAUGUCUGGAGUUGUUGCCAUGGUUGCAGAAAUUAGAGGAGCAUCCUUGGAUGACGCAAUACGACGGGCUAUGCGAUUCCUGAUGUCCCAUGAAUUAGCAGUCCAGUUCAACCUGUUUGGCCGACAUGGGAAACACCAGUUCCGGGACCUGCGUCUCUUUGAUGUUGUGUAUGGGGCACUUAAAAGAAAUGGUUCCAUCGUUGGACUCACACAUAAAGAUGUGGAAAAGGCACUCUCAAAGUGGUUCACUGGAGCCCGUGACAGGGGUGGGAAUAGGAGAGUUAGAGCAAGUAGGGAGGCUGCCAAUUCUCACUCUGGUGGGCAGGUCUUCCAAGAAGGACAGUUACAAUAAUAUGCGAGCUUUCAAGUGUAAGCAUGCAUGUAGGUUAUUCUAAAAGGUUUUGUGAAAGGUGUGUGUAUGUACCAGUAAACAAGUUUGUUGUUCAAAAAUGCCAUGUGAACAAUUUUGUAGAUUUGAAUUUAUUUUUUUUGUUGUUGUUUAAGAGCGCCAUUUGUGCUUGUGGCACCGUUUGCUUUGUUAAUUAAGUUCUAAUAAUUGCUGAGGUAUAAAAUAACUUCUGAUUACAAAAUAAACAGCCUUGACCAAAGGAAAUUUCUUUUUUUCUCUUUAAACAAAUUUUGUGAUAAAGCGUUUUAGGACUUUGGUUUGUUUAAAACUGCAUAUCUAUGAAUGUUAUUCAUUUCAAGGUUAGGUGAGAACAACCCCAUUGUUCCUAUAAGGAUUAAGGCAUCUGGCUCCCACUGAAAACCCAGUCAGGGCCUGUAAACCAAUAUGGGCUAAAGCAUAUGGGCCCAUCAUGGAAAAUGUGGAACUACUAAUUUGUUACCCAUAUUCUAGCCCAGUUCAGACCCAAUUGGGGUCCAGGUAAAUAUUCCUGAAAGCACCCUAGUGGGCCACAGAUGGGCCUCGUGUAAGUUAACCAUAUGGGCCCCACUGAAAACCCAGUCAGAGCCCAUUAAAAUCUACCUGGGCAAACCCAUGUGGGGCCACCAUGGAAACUGUGGACAAACCCACUUGUUACCCAUAUUCUAGCCCAGUUCAGACCCAAUUGGGGCCCAGGUAAAUAUUCCUGAAAGCACCCUAGUGGGCCACAGAUGGGCCUCGUGUAAGUUAACCAUCUGGGCCCCACUGAAGACCCAGUCAGAGCCCUUUAAAAUCUACCU